AGCCGAUGUUGAGAAAGUGUUCCUGAAACCUCUUUGGUGCAAAACGGUGGUUUUAUUAAAGCACGGGGACAGGAUCCGUGCACAGAAAGCGUGGCAUCAGUGUUGUGGGGGGAACUGAUACACCCUUGAAAGGUGGGGGAGGUAAGGACAGGGAAGGGUUUCAAAAGAACUUUCCUAUGCUAAGGAAGACCUACAAGAUACUGGAGACCUUGCCAUUGUCAAGUGAGGAGGUUUUACCUUCUAGCAGGGAAUGAACAUGAAGAUGUUUGGAACAGGCAUUCUUUUGUUUCAAGGAGACUUGAGUUUUUUAAAAAACCUUUUGGCCUGAUCCAAAACACCUCCACUAAAUAUUUUCUACCCUGUGCUAUUUGCCCUCCUUACUACUGGCAGAUAACCUUAUCCUUGGAAGGGGUACCUAAGUCUCAGUGUACCUGGACCAGAAAUGAAAAUGUCAGAUGUAUUCCUGACCAACCCAAGUAUAUGCCACGAAGGAAAAAACAAACCUCGGGACCAAUUUGAAAGGAUGUGGGGCUGAGAGGAGGCAUUUCUCCAGUGGCAUCUGUUCCUACUGCACACGAUCUGCCCCUGCAUUCUGUUCCAGCUCCAUCCGUCACACAAUGGCCACUGAGGUGCAGGCACCACUGACUGAUGGAUCACAAAGACCCCCCUGAGCAAGCGCAAGGCUCUGUACAGAGAAACACAGAAGCAACCAGGACUUGCGGGACCUACAGUCUAUUCGGUCCUCGUUCUGCCACUAACCGGAACCGUCUCAUUUCCUGUGAGAGAAGUUAAAACUGUUCUUGAUCGUUAACCGAGCAGCUGAAGGAUGAAAUCAGGGAGAAGCUAUGAAAGGCCUUUGUACAUAUCACUAUCACCAGCCUUGCACGUCUCUAAACUGUACUGAAGAUACUGUCACGCUGACAAUAAAAUCUUCGUGAUUGUGAAUACAGCAGACAACAGGGUCUAGCGCUCACAGUCCCACUGUCAGGGUAUUCCACUCAUACAGAGGGCACGUCGACAAGGGUUUUUAUCAGGACCCCUGUUGGUAACAGCAGAGGAUGAGAAGCCAGGCACCCAUCCUUCACCGGGGCCCCGGUGACAUCAAGUAUGUGGCUGAUGGCAGCAGCAGGCGCAAGUAGCUGGGGACAGGUGUAGGAGACAGGUGGUCACUGCAUCUCCUACUAAUAUAUUUUUAACAUUUUGAACCACGCAGGCACCUUCACAAAUGAAACAAUUUGGGAAAGAAGAGGGCGAAUGUUCAUUUACCUUUAAUCUCCAGAAGGUGGUCUCCAUCCCAGUCCCAAGAUUUAGAAUUUGACAAUGACAUUCUGUCUUCUGCAGAAAUGCCCUUAUCAGCUGACUGACGCCAUAGACUCGAGCAAAAUAUCCUGAGACAGAGACACAGAGACAAGUUAUCGCUUAGUGAGAUCAGAAAGCAUCGCUGCAGAGCCCGCCCUAGGAGAGGAGGAAAUGAGGAUUCGGCUGCUCUUCUUUGGGGUGCAAACUACUGAGGACUCAGCUAAACGUCAACAUGCGAGAUCAAGACGAUAUAAUAUUUUUCGGUCAGAAUAUGGGGCAGAUAAAUGUCCAAGAAAAAUGAAAUAAAAUAAAAUAAAAUAAAAUAAAGCCGUAUUUCUUACCAUGUUCCCUUCAUCUCCAACCUGUGUGGGUAAAAGUCUCUAUGCUUAUAAACUGACCUCACAGACCGACUGCAGGAGAGGAAGGCACGAGCAAACAUUGCCCCCAAAAUGGACUUAUUCAGCUCCAGUGUGAGGAGCUUUGGUAAAGGAGAUGGUGAAUAAAAGGGGGAAAGGAAGAUAAAAUCUGUGUUCUAUAGCCCUGUUGCUUAAAGUGUAACUAUCUUAAGAACAAAACGUGAGCAGCAUUUAGAAGUGUACUGCAAUGUGAUAUAGGAGUUCGGUGUCUAUUGAUUCUCCUAAUAAAUCAUUUGAGCUUGUA